rnacentral:misc_RNA from 1 species
AACGCAACUUGCGCCCCUUGGUAUUCCGAGGGGCACGCCUGUUUGAGUGUCGUGAAUUCCUCCACCCUUUCACUUUGUUGCGAUUGGGAUGGGAUUUGGGGGUUUCUUGCGGGAAUAUCAAGUUCCGCUCCCCUUGAAUGCAUUAGCAAAAAGACCCUUGUGGCCUCGGUGUGAUAAUUAUCUAUGCCGUUCGGACAUGAAUAGACUUUUGCUUCUAAUCGUCUUCGGACAAUACAUCUGAAACUUGACCUCAAAUCAGGCGGGACUACCCGCUGAACUUAA